UUUUCCUACCUAUCCCCUCCACCUCCCCUCCUCCUGCACUACAAGUAGUAGAUGCACAACAGUAGAAAACUCGGUCGAUAUGGAAGAUGAAAAGACAUGGACUAGACCACCGAAUCCAAGCUCUUGAAGCGAUCAUUUUGGUGCUACAAAAUACCCGAAACUUGCCGAGAUGCUGGGCAAGAGCAAAAUUCAGAUGCUCGCCCGUCAUCAUCGGCACAUGCACGCUCAGAAGUGAGGAGAGUUGAUAUGGUAGUAAGGAGGGUUGACAUUCCGUUUUGUUUGACCCAGUGGAUCUACCAACCCUUUAGCACGACUGCUGAUCAACAUUCGUGUUAUGGGUUGAUGAGCAUUCGAGUUGGCGAACAUUUGUGUUGAUCAACUAGCGUGCUGAUAUCGUGCUGAUGUCGUGCUGAUAUCGUGAUGAUGGAAAUUCAAGUUGAACUACAAUCGUCCAUUUAAUCGCGCUGAUUACUGCGCGGAAACAGAUACUGUCACCAACUCUCACCAACUCCCACUAGCUCAUUGCAGAUUCGGACUCAAAGGUGCCCGAAAUCGACCCACUGGUCUCCAAGAGGUCUCCAAGAGGUCUCCAAGAGGCGACCCACUGAUGUCCAAAUCGACCCACUGGUCUCAAAUAUUGCUUGGACAUCUGUUGAGCCGCAGAACCUCCAACGGUCGUGUCAACAGCCGCGUCGACGCAGACGUAGGCAACUCUGCAGACGGAAAAUCUGCAGACGGAAAAUCUGCACGGAAAAACUGGAUUUUUGGAGAUGAUAAGGCAUGACUGACCGCAAUCGACAUUCAUUGCAACUUCUCCAGUCGUCUCACUGUUCCGCUCACUGUUACAGUCUCCGUCUCCGCUUCAGACCUCCUCCAGUCUCCAUUCCAGACCUCCUCCAGUCUCCUCCUCCAGUCUCCACCUCCAACCCCCCUCCAACCCUCCACCUCCAAUCCUCCACCCAGACCCACCCACCAUUGUAUGCACUCGCACUACCCCUACACCUCAACAAAAUGUGCUUGCGACAAGUACAAAAAUGCAGCAGGCAUCUUUAGUUGCAGAUGCAGAAUGAAGUCUGUGCUAUCCACGGUGCGGUAGCGUGCAGAGCUGGACCGAAAAUGAUAGUAGCUCUUUUCAUCUGAAGAGUACGUACUAACGUUGUCAGGUAGAGCAUGUAAAUACCGUUCCGGCCAAUUGUUCAUUCUCUAGUGAUAUGUAACGAGUAAUUGUGUGUGUUUUGCGAAUAUCACUUUCUGUUUAAUUUAGAAACUUACUUGGUCAACAAAACAUCCCAAUUAAACCCGUUUAAUAUUCCAACUAAUUCAAAACCCCGAUUGAGACAGAAACGCA
rnacentral:misc_RNA from 1 species